rnacentral:rRNA from 1 species
GUCGGGAAUAUUGCUCAAUGGGCGAAAGCCUGAAGCAGCAACGCCGCGUGUACGAUGAAGGCCUUCGGGUUGUAAAGUACUUUUCGAGAGGAUGAGGAAGGACAGUACUCUCGGAAUAAGCCACGGCAAACUACGUGCCAGCAGCCGCGGUAAAACGUAGGUGGCGAGCGUUAUCCGGAUUUACUGGGCGUAAAGCGCGUGCAGGUGGUUUGGCAAGUCGGGCAUUAAAUCUCUGGGCUUAACCCAGAGGCGCUGUCCGAUACUGCUAAGCUUGAGGACGGUAGAGGGCGAUGGAAUUCCGCGUGUAGUGGUGAAAUGCGUAGAUAUGCGGAGGAACACCAGUGGCGAAAGCGGUCGCCUGGACCGAACCUGACACUAAAGCGCGAAAGCUAGGGUAGCGAACGGGAUUAGAUACCCGAGUAGUCC